AUGGCAGCUUCAGCCUUUUUAUUUCUGAACCCCGAAGAGAUUGGGGGAGAGCCUUCAGCAGCCAAGAUGAGGGAGAUCAAGCAAGCACCCCAGUAUAGAAGUGUUUCAACUUUGAAGCAAAUAGGAUCGUUGUGUUGGUGCCUGCCCAUUGAGGAUCAGCCCUGCUUGUAUUUGAGGCAAAAUGCUCCAAUUCCCAGGAAUCCUUUGCUCCCUGUCCACUUCCUGUGGCCCAGAGCAUGGUACAGGAAAAGAUCUGGCCUAGGAAUUCGACAAGGCCCAGGGGUAGCCUUGGAAGUGCUGCGAACGAGAGGCAACUCACUUUACUCUCAUUUUCCACAACAGCUGCAUGGACAAUAAUCUUUAUCUUGCCUUAUCUGUAAGUAUAUUGUGGGAAUACAAUUAGAUAAUUGUCAUACAAAUAUUUUAGAAGUCUAAAUGUUCUUCAACUUUGUGUUUUUAAAAAUUUGUUAAAUUUACAUUUUUAGUAAAAAAAGAACCAAUUCAUUCUAUUUUUUUAAUGUUAUGCAUGUAUUUGGUAUGAACGGGUUCUAGAGAAUGUUUCCGGGAAAAUUGAAAUAGCAAUAAUUAAUAGUAGCAACUAUUGCAACUUGGUUGCGAAUAUACAUAGAGUAGAACCCCAGCAUGAGAGGAGUUUAUUUUUAAAGAUUUUGGAAAUAAAGCAGUGCAAAGGUAUACUUUCUAAAUCCUAACUGCACACUCAAAGCAAACCAAAAUAAUAAAGAGUGUUAGCCCAUAAUGCAGAUGCUUGCCUGUCUUCUCACCGCAGUGUUAUGGAGAAAUGAGAUAAUCAGGAAUUUGGGAGCCUCCGGGAGAGCUUCAACAACGUCCUCCUUUGUACGGAUGAACCUUUUACCAAGCAGAGUCACAAGACCCUGCAACCCCUGUAAUUUGGUGAAUACUUGUGUAAUUCUUGGUUAGGCCUAUAAAAAGAGAAAGGACAGAAAGUAGGCACUGUUUCUCUCUUCCCAGAAUUUGCUUUCCAGAAGGAUGUAUAAUUAAUUCCCAUCAUUAGCUGUUCCCCAGCCAUCUCCUGGCCAUCACAACACCAAUUCGUUCCUUAAGUUGUCCAUGACUUGGUUCUAUUUGCAUAUCUUGCCUUCAUUGCACUCAACAUUUCCAAAAUCACAUAGCUAUCACAUCCGGAAAUGACAUCCUCGUAUUAGGACAAAUGGAGGCACUUGACUAAUAAUUAUUGGCAUCCUAAGAGAAACCAUAGGAAACUUGCAGCUGUUGGAAAGCACACAUAGGAAGAGAAAGAACCUGUCAUCCUCUGGCCAAACAGGAACCUAUGUAAGUGGCGUGGUGGUUACAUUUCUAAGGAUAUGUUAAAUUGGCCUUAAGUAACCAGGUCACAAGGUUAGUAGAGGCCAGUGUUAGUUGGGGAAGAGUUUGGAAUCUCCUGAAGUGAUAAUCUCCUUCCUCCUCUCUAAAGGCUCUCAAUAAACGUGCAUAUGCCUGCUGUGUGGCUUAAGUCCAAGUUUUAAAAUGUGUGUGUUUUGGCCUUAUUUUUGGCCAAUGGUAGUUGCUUCACAUUUCACUUCAAAAUUUACCUCAAAUUCUGUUUAUUCCUCAAGUUAAAACUACCUUAGGU
rnacentral:lncRNA from 1 species